CCUCCCCAACCCCCCUCCCCUCCCUUCCUCCCCCCCGACUCCGGCGCCACUAACCCCACUCGCAUCCCCUCCCCGGCCCCGGACGCCUCCCGCAUCCCGCGCGACCGCCCCCUGCACCCUCCGCGGCCCCGCCCGAUAAGUGUCGGCUAUUCACGGAGGACAGACGGCGUCUUGGCGUUGCCUUUUUUUUUUCCUUCGUUCCCUUCGCGAGCCAUCUGGAAACUUCCCGAGCCCUCCCGAACUCUCGCAAACGCCCACCUCUUUCUCCGCUCUUCUCGCCGCCACAUCCCGCCGGUCACCGUCGUCGCCUUCCUCUCCAUCGUCACCAACAUCGGCGUUCCCCCUCCAGUCUCCCUCACGACGCCGAUUUCUUCCCCGCUCUGAUCGCUGCCACCUCCCGCCACUCUCCGCCGUCGCUUUCCUCCCGAUCCUCAUCGGCUUUGGGUUCCCCCACCCAAUGUGCUUUAGAUCUCCAUUUUUUUCUUUUUUUGCUUCGAACCCUUCCAGAGUCCUCUUGAAUCUUUCCGAGCUCUCGCGGACGCUUGCCUCCUCCCCGCUCUCCUCGCCGCCACCUGCCGCCGGUCUCCGCCGUCGCCUUCCUCCCCAUUGUCACCAGCGUCGGGCCUCACAGAUCUCCGAAAAAGAAGCCACCGAUCUCAUCUCUACUCUCCUCAGUGCCACCUUCCGCCGGUCUCCACCGUCGCCUUCCUCCCCAUCAUGACUGACAUCGGCCUUCCUCUCUGACCUCCAUCAGGUGCUUUCCUUCCCAUAGAUUUCUGAAAAAGAAAAAGAAAUGAAAAAGAAAAAAAAAAAGGGGAAAAAAAGAAAUGAAGCACAUUCCCGAAGAAGCAUCGGUGAUUAUUUUGGCUUCUAGGAUGAAAUUAUCGAGAGAAUCGAAUGCAGGAUUGCCGCUUGGACCUUCCUUCCAGAAGUACCAUCCAGAUGCGUGCAAAGGAAGCAAUUGUGGCAUUCAGUUUCAUCGGAUUAACGAAGCCUAUGAUGCAAGCAUUCUCCCCUCUUCCCCCUUUUCUCCCCCAAAAUCCCUUGAGAAAAUUUUUAAAUUUUUCAUAUUGGUAUUUUUUUAAGAAAAAAUAGCUACUACAGAAACAUUUCGUCCAGAUUGAAUGCUCCAUUUUUUUUCUUUGGGUUGAUUUAGACUCAUCAAUUUUAAACUUUGAGUCAUAGUAGAACAAAAAGAAAGUACUGCUUUGAAUGGGCGCCAAUGUUUCGUUUUGGUUAUGGAAAGUCAGUUAUUGUGAAAGAGUCUUCCAUGAGGAGGGCAACAACUGUUCAUGAAGGAGUGGAUAUGAAGAAAGGGUUUUCCAAUGUUUCAUACUGGAUCCGGAAAGUCAGUUAUAGUGAUGCAGUCUUCAAUCAGAAAGGUAGUCGCAAUUCCUGAAGAAGAAAAUCUUAAGAAAGGAUGAAAUUAUCGAGAGAAUAGAAUGUAGGAUUGCUGCUUGGACCUUCCUUCCAGAAGUACCAUCCAAAGGUGUGCAAAGAAAGUAAUUACGGCGUUCAGUUUCAUCGGAUCAACGAAGCUUAUGACGUAAGCAUUCUCCACUCCUUUUUUGCUCCAAAAUCCCUCGAGAAAAUUUUUAAAUAUUUCA